UACAGAGGGUGCGAGCGUUAACCGGAAUUACUGGGCGUAAAGCGCGCGUAGGCGGCUUUUCAAGUCGGGUGUGAAAUCCCCAGGCUUAACCUGGGAACUGCAUUCGAGACUGCAUUGCUAGAGUAUGGGAGAGGGAAGUGGAAUUUCCGGUGUAGCGGUGAAAUGCGUAGAUAUCGGAAGGAACACCGGUGGCGAAAGCGGGUUCCUGGACCGAUCCUGACGCUCAUGUGCGAAAGCGUGGGGAGCAAACAGG
rnacentral:rRNA from 1 species